GGGUCAGUAGGUUGGUCGUGCCACCGGUACGUACUGGUCUCACUGAUUCCUCCUUCCUGAAGAACCGUAACGCCAUUAAUUUGGUGUUGCGGGGAAACAGGACUGUUACUUUGAAAAAAUUAGAGUGUUUAAAGCAAGCUAACGCUUGAAUACAUUAGCAUGGAAUAAUGAAAUAGGGCGAUCGAUCCUAUUUUGUUGGUUUCUAGGAUUGACGUA
rnacentral:rRNA from 1 species